CAGAGUAUGGCCAAACUAGCUAAAGCAUCUCCCUUACACCGAGAAAAUAUCCGUGCAAAUCGGAUUACUCUGA
rnacentral:tRNA from 1 species